CCGUUACUUCUAUCUCUGUUUGAUAUCUACUGCUAUUCAUCCCAUUACUUCUAUCUCUGUUUGAUAUCUACUGCUAUUCAUCCCAUUACUUCUAUCUCUGUUUGAUAUCUUCUGCUGUUCAUCCCAUUACUUCUAUCUCUGUUUGAUAUCUACUGCUAUCCAUCCCAUUACGUCUGUCUCUGUUUGAUGUCUACUGCUAUUCAUCCCAUUACUUCUGUCUUUG
rnacentral:lncRNA from 1 species